rnacentral:misc_RNA from 1 species
AACGCACCUUGCGCCCUUUGGCUAUUCUGAAGGGCAUGCCUGUUUGAGUAUCAUGAACACCUCAACUCUCAUGGUCUGCCAUGAUGAGCUUGGACUUUGGGGGUCUUGCUGGCCUAGCGUCGGCUCCUCUCAAAUGGAUCAGCUUGCCAGUGUUUGGUGGCAUCACGGGUGUGAUAACUAUCUACGCUUGUGGUUUUCCAUCAUGUAACCUUCAGCAAUGGAGGUUCGCUGGAGCUCACAGAUGUCUCUCCUUGGUGAGGACAGCUUUUGAACGUUUGAUCUCAAAUCAGGUAGGACUACCCGCUGAACUUAA